CUCGGUUUCCGUCUGCUCAGCGGCUCGAGGGCAGACACAGCCAGGCAGAGGGAGAGGGAGGAGAAGCUGCUCCCCCCACGGCAGAUGCAGCCGGGACACAGAGACAAAGGAGGGACCGGGAGAAGGCUGCACCCUUGCGGUUCACAGCCCACGGCUUCCCCGCCGGCCCGGCCCGGCUCCCGACAGCACAGUGAGCCUGGAGCUCAGGAGCCCAAGCUGAGGAGGUUGUGCCCUGUGCUCUAGUCUCCUUCACCAGGGACUUGGGGGAACAGCUCAUUCAGACGGAACGGGGCCUCAAACCAACCUGCUUCUCGGCCGGCUGCAUCUCAGGUUAUUUGGGAAGCGCCCAACGCAGCCCGGCCUCCCCACAGCCCCCGCUUGGCACCGGGUUCUUACCGAAUAAUGUGGCCACUUCAUCCAAACUUCUAAAACUCAGUAGUUCAGAGCUGGUGUCUGGGUGUGUUCCCAUCGGCCGGAGCUGCACCUUUGGCCAGCAGUACAUCAGGAAGACGAAGAAGUGGGUCCCUGCUCCUCUCCUCGUCACCAUGUUCCCUGCAGCGGAAGGAAAAGGGCUCAGCUUCUCCAGUCCUGGUCUCCAGGAUACGUGGAAUGUCAGGGGCCUGUGACCUCAGGACAGGAAGUGAGCUGGGGUCCUAUCAGGGACCUGUGACAUCAGGACAGGAAGUGAGCCGGGUGAUGUCAGGGACCUGUGACAUCAGGAUAGGAAGUGAGCAGGAUGACAUCAGGACAGGCGUGAGCUGGGGUCCUAUCAGGGACCCGUGACAUCGGGACAGGAGUGAGCUGGGGUCCUAUCAGGGGCCUGUGACCUCAGGACAGGAAGUGAGCAGGAUGACAUCAGGACAGGAGUGAG
rnacentral:lncRNA from 1 species